AUUGAACGCUGGCGGCAUGCCUAACACAUGCAAGUCGAACGAGUGGCGGACGGGUGAGUAAUGUCUGGGAAACUGCCCGAUGGCGGGGGAUAACUACUGGAAACGGUAGCUAAUACCGCAUACCAUCGGAUGUGCCCAGAUGGGAUUAGCUAGUAGGUGGGGUAAAGGCUCACCUAGGCGACGAUCCGUAGCUGGUUUGAGAGGAGGACCAGCCACACGGGAACUGAGACACGGUCCAGACUCCUACGGGAGGAAGCAGUGGGGAAUAUUGGACAAUGGGGGAAAGCCUGAUGCAGCCAUGCCGCGUGUAUGAAGAAGGCCUUCGGGUUGUAAAGUACUUUCAGCGAGGAGGCGUUAUUCGCAGAAGAAGCACCGGCUAACUCCGUGCCAGCAGCCGCGGUAAUAC
rnacentral:rRNA from 1 species